UACGUAGGGGGCAAGGCGUUGUCCGGAUUUAUUGGGCGUAAAGAGCGUGUAGGCGGUUUGGUAGGUCCGCUGUGAAAACUCGAGGCUCAACCUCGAGACGCCGGUGGAAACCAUCAGACUAGAGUCCGGAAGAGGAGAGUGGAAUUCCUGGUGUAGCGGUGAAAUGCGCAGAUAUCAGGAAGAACACCCGUGGCUAAGGCGGCUCUCUAGUACGGUACUGACGCUGAGACGCGAAAGCGUGGGGAGCGAACAGG
rnacentral:rRNA from 1 species